rnacentral:rRNA from 1 species
AAAUUGAAGAGUUUGAUCAUGGCUCAGAUUGAACGCUGGCGGCAGGCCUAACACAUGCAAGUCGAACGGUAACAGGAAGCAGCUUGCUGCUUCGCUGACGAGUGGCGGACGGGUGAGUAAUGUCUGGGAAACUGCCCGAUGGAGGGGGAUAACUACUGGAAACGGUAGCUAAUACCGCAUAAUGUCGCAAGACCAAAGAGGGGGACCUUCGGGCCUCUUGCCAUCGGAUGUGCCCAGAUGGGAUUAGCUUGUUGGUGAGGUAACGGCUCACCAAGGCGACGAUCCCUAGCUGGUCUGAGAGGAUGACCAGCCACACUGGAACUGAGACACGGUCCAGACUCCUACGGGAGGCAGCAGUGGGGAAUAUUGCACAAUGGGCGCAAGCCUGAUGCAGCCAUGCCGCGUGUAUGAAGAAGGCCUUCGGGUUGUAAAGUACUUUCAGCGGGGAGGAAGGGGUUAAGGUUAAUAACCUUAGCCAUUGACGUUACCCGCAGAAGAAGCACCGGCUAACUCCGUGCCAGCAGCCGCGGUAAUACGGAGGGUGCAAGCGUUAAUCGGAAUUACUGGGCGUAAAGCGCACGCAGGCGGUCUGUCAAGUCGGAUGUGAAAUCCCCGGGCUCAACCUGGGAACUGCAUUCGAAACUGGCAGGCUUGAGUCUCGUAGAGGGGGGUAGAAUUCCAGGUGUAGCGGUGAAAUGCGUAGAGAUCUGGAGGAAUACCGGUGGCGAAGGCGGCCCCCUGGACGAAGACUGACGCUCAGGUGCGAAAGCGUGGGGAGCAAACAGGAUUAGAUACCCUGGUAGUCCACGCCGUAAACGAUGUCUAUUUGGAGGUUGUUCCCUUGAGGAGUGGCUUCCGGAGCUAACGCGUUAAAUAGACCGCCUGGGGAGUACGGCCGCAAGGUUAAAACUCAAAUGAAUUGACGGGGGCCCGCACAAGCGGUGGAGCAUGUGGUUUAAUUCGAUGCAACGCGAAGAACCUUACCUGGUCUUGACAUCCACAGAAGUUUUCAGAGAUGAGAAUGUGCCUUCGGGAACUGUGAGACAGGUGCUGCAUGGCUGUCGUCAGCUCGUGUUGUGAAAUGUUGGGUUAAGUCCCGCAACGAGCGCAACCCUUAUCCUUUGUUGCCAGCGGUUAGGCCGGGAACUCAAAGGAGACUGCCAGUGAUAAACUGGAGGAAGGUGGGGAUGACGUCAAGUCAUCAUGGCCCUUACGACCAGGGCUACACACGUGCUACAAUGGCAUAUACAAAGAGAAGCGACCUCGCGAGAGCAAGCGGACCUCAUAAAGUAUGUCGUAGUCCGGAUUGGAGUCUGCAACUCGACUCCAUGAAGUCGGAAUCGCUAGUAAUCGUGGAUCAGAAUGCCACGGUGAAUACGUUCCCGGGCCUUGUACACACCGCCCGUCACACCAUGGGAGUGGGUUGCAAAAGAAGUAGGUAGCUUAACCUUCGGGAGGGCGCUUACCACUUUGUGAUUCAUGACUGGGGUGAAGUCGUAACAAGGUAACCGUAGGGGAACCUGCGGUUGGAUCACCUCCUUACCUUAAAGAA